rnacentral:rRNA from 1 species
GGUGAGCUACCCCGAGACAGCCUAUAUUAAUUUAGGGCUAACCCGUCUCUGUGGCAAAAGAGUGGGAAGAGCUCCGGGUAGAAGUGAAAGACCUACCGAACCUGGUGAUAGCUGGUUGACUGAGAAAUGGAUAGAAGUUCAGCCUCGCACACCCCAAACCAAAAAAUACUAUCACCAAGAUAUUAAGGGAAACGUACGAGAGUUAGUUAAAAGGGGUACAGCCCUUUUAACAAAGGAUACAACCUUUACAGGAGGAUAAAGAUCAUAAUGUAUAAGAUAUACUGUUCUAGUGGGCCUGAAAGCAGCCACCUAAACAGAAAGCGUUAAAGCUCGGACAGAAGGAAGUUUAUUAUACUGAUAAAAAAUCUUAUUCCCCUAGCUAUAUCAGACCAACCCAUGCCUCCAUGGAAGAGAUUAUGCUAAAAUGAGUAAUAAGAAGACCCGCUCUUCUCCCAGCACAAGUGUAAACCAGAUCGGACUGACCACUGGAACUUAACGAACCCAACCCCAGAGGGUAGUGUGAUUAACAAAAAACUCAAGAAGGCCUCACAUAACUAAUCGUUAACCCCACACUGGAGUGCUAUUUUAAGGGAAAGACUAAAAGAAGGGGAAGGAACUCGGCAAACACAAGCCUCGCCUGUUUACCAAAAACAUCGCCUCCUGCAACUAAACUGAGUAUAGGAGGUCCAGCCUGCCCAGUGACUACGGGUUCAACGGCCGCGGUAUCUUGACCGUGCAAAGGUAGCGCAAUCACUUGUCUCUUAAAUAGAGACCUGUAUGAAUGGCUAGACGAGGGCUUAACUGUCUCCCCCUUCCAGUCAGUGAAAUUGAUCUAUCCGUGCAGAAGCGGGUAUAAAUAUACAAGACGAGAAGACCCUUUGGAGCUUAAGGUACAAAAUUCAGCCACGUUAAACAACUCUAUAAGAAGCAAGAACUUAGUGAUAAUGAAAUUUUACCUUCGGUUGGGGCGACCGCGGAGGAAAAACAAGCCUCCGAGUGGACUGGGCCGAAUCCCUGAAGCCAAUAGAGACAUCUAUAAGCCGCAGAACAUCUGACCAAAAAUGAUCCGGCUAAAAGCCGAUCAACGAACCAAGUUACCCAAGGGAUAACAGCGCAAUCCCCUCCCAGAGCCCAUAUCUACGAGGGGGUUUACGACCUCGAUGUUGGAUCAGGACAUCCUAAUGGUGC